AGGGGUGUAGCUCAGUUGGUAGAGCUUCGGAUUCCAAAUCCGACGGUCGGGGGUUCGAGUCCCUCCACCCCUGCCA
rnacentral:tRNA from 1 species